rnacentral:pre_miRNA from 1 species
GUAGUACUCCCUCCGUUUCAAAUUACUCGUUGCAGAAAUGGAUGUAUCUAGAACUAAAAUACAUCUAGAUACAUUCAUACCUGCGACAAGUAAUUUAGAAUGGAGGGAGUAUUAU